rnacentral:rRNA from 1 species
AACGAACGCUGGCGGCAGGCUUAACACAUGCAAGUCAAACGCCCCGCAAGGGGAGUGGCAGACGGGUGAGUAACGCGUGGGAAUCUACCAUCGAGUGGGGAAUAACCAGCCGAAAGGUUGGCUAAUACCGCGUACGCCUCCGGAUCUUCGGGUUCGGAGGGAAAGCCGCGCUGUGAGUGCGGCGCUCUUUGAUGAGCUCA